UACAGAGGGUGCUAGCGUUGUUCGGAAUCAUUGGGCGUAAAGCGCGUGUAGGCGGGUUGUUAAGUCCGCUGUGAAAAGCCCCGGUGCUCAACGCCGGAGGGUCGGUGGAUACUGGCAGUCUUGAAGUGGCUAGGGGGAAAUGGAAUUACCGGUGUAGCGGUGAAAUGCGUAGAUAUCGGUAGGAACACCAGUGGCGAAAGCGGUUCCUGGAGCCCACUUGACGCUGAGACGCGAAAGCUGGGGAGACAAACGGGAUUAAGUGACCCCUGGUAUCCCG
rnacentral:rRNA from 1 species